rnacentral:lncRNA from 7 species
GGUUUCCUAAGGAAAAUUAGUUCAUUUUUUUUUUUGGGAAAAUGAAGUUUCCAAAAGGGUUUCAAAUCCAUGGUGGUGUGGGAAUUGAUUGCAGUAAAGGCGAUGGGUAAGCUGAUACCGGUGGGUUGAGAAUUAGACCAUCAGUAGCUUACUCUUUCCCAUAUUUAAACUAUAAUCUACACUACAAAAUAGUGCAAAAGGUGUUCAUAGUGACCUAUGAAUAAUAUAAUCUACACUACAAAAAUAGUCCAAAAGGUGUUUGUAGUGACCAUAUAUGGGUGUACAUUGUACCUUUUUACAUUGUAUUUGUAGUGAUCAUAUAUGGGUGAACUACUGUACUUUUUUAUAUUGUAGAUCGUAUUAUUUAUAGUGUGCAGUUUGAAUAUAGGUAAGCUGAUGGUCUUAUUGCCUGUCAAGUUCAUAUAUAAUAGUUUUGGGAUUAAUUUUUUUUGCGUCAUAGAAAUUCAUAAGCAUGUGAGUUUAUCACAUAUAUACAUCAGAAUAUUAACUAGAAUAUAUUUAAAAUUGGUUUCGUUCAUAUACUCGGAAUUGUGCCCAGCGGGAUUAUAUAAUUUAACAAAGAACAUGGUACAGAAUUAUAAGCCGUGACUUUAUACCAUUAUAUUAAACGUAAUUGGGAAUAUUUAAAUUGUUUUUCAUUCUAAUUGACUGCAUUUUGUUUAAGUCUCAAGGGUGCCGUGCUUUUAAUCUAGGGCCUAAAAUUGGGUGAUUAAGGGGCUGUUUGGUUCGUGGUCAUACUUUACCUAAGGUUAGUCGUUUGAACUGAAAAACUAAUCUUAGUCAGAAAAGUUAAGCAAAGUGUAGUAAGUUAGUCAUCAAACCAAACAGGCUCUAAAAGCAAGUUAAAAUCCACCGGAAUUGACUGCAUUUUGUUUGUCUUGUUUUCAUCAAUCCACCGGAAUUCAGUGAUUAAAUCUCGCAAGUUAAAAUUUUUCUUAAUUUGCUCAAUAUUUUUCAGCGAUAUCCGUUCUUUUGAAUGGGUCUAUUCACAGAAGGUUUGGUUGUGAACACGAAUAUUCAAUUGAUAUAUGUGUACUUUUUAAAGGUAUUUUAUGGUUAUUUAAAUGUAGCUGCGUCUGCUCGUUGAGGUGUGGAUCUUUCCUCAACACGGUGAGGUCAUCCGUUUGACUGCUAGCCUAGGCGUGCUGUCCCGGAUGGAUGGUGGUUCAAAUCCACCAAGAUUCUUUAGUAGUCGGAACUUAUUGCUCACCAAAGAACUUACCAUUGCUUUAGGAUGUUUUAUUUUUGUAUAUAGGCUUAGCCGGUUAGGGCCUGUUUGGAUCAGUUUAUAAGAAACUGUUUUUUGAAAAUUGAGGUGGUUCCAAAUAUAUCACUAGACUUUCAAACAGCAUCUUAGUUAAACAGGACCUUAGUUUUGAUACGAGGCCUGCACUCAGCCCGGCGGCGAUCAAAAUCGAACGUGUGGGAUCUCUGAUAUUUGACUAGGUCUGGUCGGUAGCAAACCAAACAUGUAAGAAUUUGUACAUAUACUCAACGUCUUAGAAUUUGCAGUUUAGAGAACAGAGAGUUUUUGUUUUUGUUUUUGCUUAGUUCACGUCUCUUUCAUCGAAGUGGCUUCUCAUUUUUGCCUAGACUCUUUAUUUUACAAGUAAGAAUUUCUUCCUAGAUUUUUAUGAUCCACGGGAAUUUACACUGAAUCUUUUGUCAGAAAAAUGCAAGAAUUUCAUAUAAUCCAGUUUAUUUUUAUUUUUUGAUAAUAAAAUUUCUCUAGUAAAAAAAUGUUGUAGGGCCUAGGAGUUCUAUAAUUUAUAAUUCAUACCGAAUUAUCAGCAAUCUCCUUUAUAGAAGUGAUAUAUGUAGAAAACAAAAAAAAAAGAUGGCAUUCACGUUUUCUAGAAGUGGUGAUAAUUUGAAUUUUGUCCAAAGUCGUACUGACAUGUUCCGUGCGAAAGGGCGUUCUCAAUGGGAAGAGGAAAACACUGUUUCCAAAGCUACCAUCUCAAAAAACACUAAAUCUCGUAUUUUUCUUUAUUAAAUUGUAUAUUGUGUUAUCUUAUUUGUUUACGUGACGUAUUAUUAAUAAAAAUAAAACUCUUAUGAAACUCCUAUUAAGAAUGACUUCAUUUAGAGUAAAAUUAUAAAAAAUUUACUAACAUUUAUGAUAUUAAGUAUAAUUAUUAUAAUAAUAUUUUUGUUUAUAGUAAAUCUACUUAAAGUUAAGAUACUUGGAGGCUCUUUGGAUCCAAACAAGUUCAGCCAAAGUGACUAAAAUGACAUAUUUUUAUUAUUUUAGUCACUUUUAACUAGCUUGGAAUGUGAUUGAACUUUAUUAAUGUUUGUUUUAGCACCUAAACAGGCUCUUAGAUCAUGGCUACUACUAAUAGUUAACUACUAGCUAAUAUGUCAUAACUACUAUGUAACUACUAUUACCCCUAUUAGGACUAGUUUAGGAACUUCAUUUUCUUAAGGAAUUUCUAUUUUUCAAGAGGACUUGGAUAAAUGAGGUUCCCAAACUAGUCCUUAACAAAUUUCACUCGACUAGUAAAAUAGUACUAUUAUUAGCUACUAGAAAAAUAUUGCUAACAAUCAGUUAAACUAUUAGCAACAUGUAUUUGGAUUCAAGAAAAUAAUUAUGAGUAGCUAAUUAGUAAUUACUAUCUUUCUUGAACCUAAGUAGGAUCAUAAUUAAUAAAAAUCCUAUAGUUUUUAGAGAGCCAAGAUAGGAUCAUAAUUAACAUAAAUAAUGUAGUUUAAUUUUUUGAUAGACAGUACUAGGGCAUGUUUAGUUUCAUUGUGCUAAACUUUAGCAUCACUUAAAGAGAUAAAGUGCUAAUGUAUGUUAAACUUUAGCAUUUUACUUUUAAUAUCUUCUAGUAUAUUUUAGCACUCAUGUUUGGAUUUACAAGAGCUAAAGUUUACUAAAGAUGUAGUGCUAAACUUUAGCAUUAUGGAAUCAAACAUGCCCUUAGAGUGUACAUAAUAAGAACUGCACAUUAGGCCUUAGACUGCCUUCAACAACUACCUUAUUUUAUUCUAUAUUUUAAACUUUACUCUGCAAUCAGUAUAAUCCAUAGUAUAAAUAAUAAAUCUCUUAUUUUACAUGAUCUAGUGUACAUAAUAAGAACUGCAUAUUAGGCCUUAGCUAUCUUCAACAACUAUCUCAUUUCAUUCUAUAUGUCAAAUUUUACUCUGCAAUCAGUAUAAUCUAUAGUAUAAAUCUCUUAUUUUACAUGAUUUGUUGUGGACAAUCUUUACAUGGAUGGCACAUGGACCUGAGACAACAUUGGACGACAUGUGAAACUUUCUUUGGACAAUAUUGGACAACAGGAGAAAGCUAGAAGGAGCAUACAAAUUUGAAUUCUGCUUCUUUUCCAACAUUGGAUAAUAUGAAAAACUUAGAAGAAACAUAGACAUAGGAUUCUACUUCUUUUCCAGUUUUUUUGUGGUAAAUAGAUCAUUAUUAAUUUGGCAUAAUUAUAUUCAUAAUCGAGCAUUGCAUCUAAUUGUGCUAAUUCAUUUGCUGCUGAAUUUUGCUUUGUUUUUAUCAGCUGAACCCUCCAACCAACUGAAGGCUACAAAUACUCCUCUGUUUGGACGAGGGUGAACAUGAGCUUAGACUUGUCCUCAUUCGAUUUGCAACGUCUCGACAACCCUUGCACGAUCUGACUCUACUGUUAGAUCGUCCGUACCCAUAGUUUAUCCAAAAGAAUUAUUUUACACGGUAUGUACUGUUAUGUGUUGUAGAUUAUAUUGUUAGAAAAGUGAAGUUUGAAUAUAUAGGUAUAGAGAUGGAUAAACUGUCAUAGAUUUAGUCUUAGAGGUACAACACCAUUCCGUUGCAAGCCUCUGCCUCAACAACUUGUGCCAUUUAAAAUCACUUGUCGUCUCUACCAGUCUGCCUCGUGCCAUGUAAAAAUCACUUGCCAAGCUGUAAAUUAGACAGUUGUACUAUCAUCUUUUGCCACCGCCUUCAAAAUUGUAUACAAGGAAUAUAUAUAUAGUGAAUUCCU